GCUUCUCCAUCAGCAGACGGAGUCCGAGAGAGAGAGAGAGAGAGAGUACAGUAGAUCAUGCUGUUUCUGCAUCAGCAGCCGGAGUCUGAGAGAGAGAGAGAGAGAGAGAGAGUACAGUAGAUCAUGCUGUUUCUGCAUCAGCAGCCGGAGUCUGAGAGAGAGAGAGAGAGAGAGAGAGAGAGAGAGUACAGUAGGUCAUGCUGUUUCUCCAUCAGCAGCCGGAGUCUGAGAGAGAGAGAGAGAGAGUACAGUAGGUCAUGCUGUUUCUCCAUCAGCAGCCGGAGUCUGAGAGAGAGAGAGAGAGAGAGAGAGAGAGUACAGUAGAUCAUGCUGUUUCUCCAUCAGCAGCCGGAGUCUGAGAGAGAGAGAGAGAGAGAGAGAGAGAGAGAGAGUACAGUAGAUCAUGCUGUUUCUCCAUCAGCAGCCGGAGUCUGAGAGAGAGAGAGAGAGAGAGAGAGAGAGAGAGAGAGAGAUUACAGUAGGUCAUGCUGUUUCUCCAUCAGCAGCCGGAGUCUGAGAGAGAGAGAGAGAGAGAGAGAGAGAGAGAGAGUACAGUAGGUCAUGCUGUUUCUCCAUCAGCAGCCAGAGUCUGAGAGAGAGAGAGAGAGAGAGAGAGAGAGAGUACAGUAGGUCAUGCUGUUUCUCCAUCAGCAGCCGGAGUCUGAGAGAGAGAGAGAGAGAGAGAGAGAGAGUACAGUAGAUCAUGCUGUUUCUCCAUCAGCAGCCGGAGUCUGAGAGAGAGAGAGAGAGAGAGAGAGAGUACAGUAGGUCAUGCUGUUUCUCCAUCAGCAGCCGGAGUCUGAGAGAGAGAGAGAGAGAGAGAGAGAGAGUACAGUAGAUCAUGCUGUUUCUGCAUCAGCAGCCGGAGUCUGAGCGAGAGAGAGAGAGAGAGAGAGUACAGUAGGUCAUGCUGUUUCUCCAUCAGCAGCCGGAGUCUGAGAGAGAGAGAGAGAGAGAGAGAGAGAGAGAGAGUACAGUAGAUCAUGCUGUUUCUCCAUCAGCAGCCGGAGUCUGAGAGCGAGAGAGAGAGAGAGAGAGAGAGAGAGAGUACAGAAGGUCAUGCUGGUUCUGCAUCAGCAGCCGGAGUCUGAGAGAGAGAGAGAGAGAGAGAGAGUACAGUAGGUCAUGCUGUUUCUCCAUCAGCAGCCGGAGUCUGAGAGCGAGAGAGAGAGAGAGAGAGAGAGAGAGAGUACAGAAGGUCAUGCUGGUUCUGCAUCAGCAGCCGGAGUCUGAGAGAGAGAGAGAGAGAGAGAGAGAGAGAGAGAGAG